UGCGCCCUCUGGUAUUCCGGAGGGCAUGCCUGUUUGAGCGUCGUUUCUCCCUCAAACCGC
rnacentral:rRNA from 1 species